UACGUACUCCCUCCGACCCAUAUUACUUGUCAAAAUAUUGCAUGUAUCUAGACAGUUUAAACAUAGAUACAUUCAUAUUUAGACAAAUUUGAGACAAGUAAUAUGCGUCAGAGGGAGUACCUG
rfam:Brachypodium distachyon strain Bd21 chromosome 5, whole genome shotgun sequence.